rnacentral:pre_miRNA from 1 species
GGGGGGAGGCCGGAUCCUGGGCUGUCCCGCGCCCUGUGCUCCCGGGCCUGCGCUGUUGGAUUCGCGCUCCCGGUGGCCCAGCCGCCU